rnacentral:rRNA from 1 species
UACGUAGGGGGCAAGCGUUGUCCGGAAUUAUUGGGCGUAAAGCGCGCGCAGGCGGCCUUUUAAGUCUGGUGUUUAAACCUGGGGCUCAACCCCGGGUCGCAUUGGAAACUGGGAGGCUGGAGUGCAGAAGAGGAGAGUGGAAUUCCACGUGUAGCGGUGAAAUGCGUAGAGAUGUGGAGGAACACCAGUGGCGAAGGCGACUCGCUGGACAGGUAUUGACGCUGAGGUGCGAAAGCGUGGGGAGCAAACAGG